AGCAAAGGUUACAUUCAUUUUCCCAAGAAAAAAAAAUUGUAUUUUAAACCUCAGGCGCCAUGGCUCAGACCAUGCUGAUCACUCCUAGCGUUUCCGGGCAUUCAGUGCUGGAUUUGAAGCGACAGCCUCUGCUUCAGAGACUCAGGCCCAAGCCAUUCUCCCACCUUCUCCUCCCUCCACUUCCCACCUCUUCCUCCACUUCAUCUCCUGCAUUUACAACUCUUGCUCUCUUCAAAUCAAAGACCAAAGCCGCUCCUUCAAAGAAGGUCCCAUCUCCAUUUCCUCAAUCAUUCUUUACUAUUAUUAUUAUGUCUCAAUCUCUGGGUUCAUUAUUAAUUUCUUGGUAUUUUCCCUGUAAC
rnacentral:lncRNA from 1 species